UUUGAAAUACAUUUCAAUUUUCCCUUUCAAAUAUUUAUCAGUUUAUUAUUAGUUUUGUAUUCCAAGGAUUUAUUGUUAUGAUUAGAAUUUUCGAAUUGAUGUGUGGAGUGUUAUUCAAGCAAGACAAGCGAGAACAGUAUUGGCGCCAAAAGUCAAAAAACGCAAGCGAUCAUCGACAGAUCAACAAAAACUGAACACAAAAAUUAGACUAAUAGAGGAAAAAGCAAUUUUAGCAGAUAAUGGCAGAGCAAAAUAGCGAAUAAAAAGUAAUGAAAUAGUUGGUAAUGAAAAAUGAAGGAGUCAAAUUUAAAUUGCAGUACAGCUAUAUAUAUAAAAAUUAAAAAGCAAAAUAAAGUGCAGUGAUAAAAUCAAUGUGGAUGAUAAAAAAUUAGAAAUGGUAAUGAUUUUGUUAAAUAAGCGAGCAGUUGCAGUGACAAUAUCUAAAUCCGUGUGCAGAGCAGUUAGCUGUGACAUUUAAAGUGGUUGAUGUGCGCACCGAGAGAAAAACACCGAAUUACAAAGAAUUGAAAAGGAAACAGAUAUUGUCAAAAAAAUCAGGGAGCAAAUGGAUAUGAAGAACUCGGCUAAAUCAGCACGCGGGAAAUUUUCACCUUCAAAAGUCGCUUAGUCCAAUUUUAAUAAAUAAAAGCUUCACAAACAAUUAACAGCUAUAACAAGUUUUUCAAUUACCGUUGCACACAAAGUAAAUAUUUUUAUAUACGGAUUAAAAACAUACACACCCAACAUUUAAAUACACACACAAACAUACAUAUGUACAUGGUUAGUGUGAUGUGUGACUGUUAGUUUAAUAAAAUUCAGGUGAACACCAAAUAGAAAAAUUUUAAAUUUUUAAAAUUGGGUGUGUUACACAUGUAAUAAUAAAAAUGAUAAGCUGCAAUAGAAAAUAAAAA